rnacentral:rRNA from 1 species
GUGGGCCUACGGGAGGCAGCAGUGAGGAAUAUUGGUCAAUGGCCGAGAGGCUGAACCAGCCAAGGCGCGUGAGGGAAGACGGCCCUACGGGUUGUAAACCUCUUUUGUCGGGGAGCAAAGCGAGUCACGUGUGACUCAUUGAGAGUACCCGAAGAAAAAGCAUCGGCUAACUCCGUGCCAGCAGGCGCGGUAAUACGGAGGAUGCGAGCGGUAUCCGGAUUUAUUGGGGUUAAAGGGUGCGCAGGCGGAGGUGCAAGUCAGCGGUCAAAUUGCGGGGCUCAACCCAGUACUGCCGUUGAAACUGG